rnacentral:rRNA from 1 species
UACGUAGGGGCGAGCGUUGUCCGGAAUUAUUGGGCGUAAAGAGCGUGUAGGCGGUUCGGUAAGUCUGUCGUGAAACCUGGGGCUCAAACCCCAGGCGUGCCGGUGGAUACUGCCGGGCUAGAGGAGUGGUAGAGGCGAGUGGAAUUCCCGGUGUAGCGGUGAAAUGCGCGAUAUCAGGAGGAACACCAAUUGCGAAGGCAGCUCCGCUGGGACGUUACUGACGCUGAGACGCGAAGCGUGGGGAGUCGAACAGG